AUGGUGAAGAAAAUGGUGAUUUUUGUCCACUAUCUGCCUGUAGCAGUACUGUCACAACAGAGCGUUGCUGGAAGCUUGAUGAAGGCUCCAGGUGUCCCAAGAAGAGUAAUGCCCAGGCCAGGCCCUCCUCCAGCAACCACUUCUGCACAGAUUGGAAGUGAAAGUGCCACCUUGUCACUUCACCACAGAGCCAGGCAGGGCCACCAGAGUGCAGGCAGGGCAGGAGGGCAGAGCAGAGCAGGAAGAAAAGCUCACCCUGAGCAGCGUAGCAGCAGCAGCAAAAGUGGCACCAUGCAGAAGGGAGCAAAGCACAAACAGAGACAGCUUGAGAACUCCAUUCUGAGAUUGCUGUACAAAUUCUCAUAAGCAUGUUAAUUUACAUGAGGAAAAAAAUGGGACCGAAGUGGAAGACAACAGAAAGAUGGAAAUUAACAUACCUGAAGAUGUGAUCUCAUGCAAAUAGGGAUGUGAGUGCAUGUGAUACUCAGAAGCCUCGGACCACGUAAUGGCUUCCCAGUGUCUUCCAUCUCAGUCUGUGGUCCUUCAUGUUUAUACCUUUAGCAAAGGGAUGACUGUUCCUUCUUUUUGUACAGACUUUCAUAGAGUCUUGUUCUGUAACUUUGGUGAUGAUCAAUAUCCUGCUGAAUAAGAACUUGAUUGGAAUGAGAUCUAGGUAUUUCUUCACAGAUUUUUUGUUACAGCAUGAUAGUCCUGUAACUUCCUAUUUGUCUGUGCAUGUAUGCGCACACAUUCAUAAGAAAAGAUGGGAGGUUAGAGUAAAAUACUACUGUAUAAUGCUCCAUACCAGAAACGAGGUGUCUAUUCAAUUUUAGUACACUUUUCUCGGUAUUUUCUUCAUACCACAUCAUUUUCUGACAAACUCUAGACUAGGUUUUAGACUCUAGAGCACGGCUUGAAUUGUCUGAAGCCUCCCUAAUGUCAGCCUGGAAGCAAUGGCUGCACUGGUGUUUCUGAGAUGAGUAAGGUACACCUUACUCAAUACAUUAAUAAGCUCUAGUUCUCUAGUCAUAAAAAAUAGUAAAGUCUGUUUCUUUCCAUCUUUUUAUUAAUUUCUUUCAUGUUUUUUUUUCUGAACAUACUUUAAUUUGAAAAUAUAACACACAUCUUUCUUAGAAGACCUAACUCAUGAACAGCAGGUUGUAAGUUCAUGUGUAGACAUAGGGAACAGCCAUUUCUCAUGGACACUUCCCUGUGCAUAUUCUAUACAACAUGUUUCUUCUAACGGACGCUCUUGUCUUUUCAUAUAAGUGGUAAAUAUUUUCUCUACUGCAUUUGGCUCCUGAUCACUAACGGAUUGAGUGUUUUAUAGAUUCUUCCAUUGAGUGUGUAAUAGCUUGUGUUGCAC
rnacentral:lncRNA from 1 species